AGAGAUGCUAGUAACAUUGAAAUCAUUGUUCUGCGCUUUACUUCUUUAAGGACUAUGUGCUUUACUGCAGAACCUCUGAUCUUAUGAAAUGAGGGGUUUGACUUUCUCUUUCAUCACAAUUUUAGAGCUUUUGGAGAUGAUAGAACAAUUUGUACCAUUAUUGUGAUGAUGACAAUUAAGCUUGGUUUGGAUUUGAUUUGAAACCACAUGAAUGUUUCCACACCUCCUGUUACUGAGAUUCUCAUUUGAUGAACCAAAUUUUUCUUGCUGAUAAAAGUUAUUCUGAAGCUAUUUAGGUUUGUGAUUGUAUAAAAUCAGAUUCAAACCAAUGAGGAAACUAUUAGUAGUAUUUAAUUUAGAAGUUGGGGGUAUUUGAUCAUAUAUGCUUCACAAAAUUUAUACUCACAUGGGGUGUAUAAAGAAGAAUUGCAAUGGAAGUUCAAGAAGAAAGAAAAAUUGAAUUCAUAGAGCAGGUAGGGGAAGCACUUGAUGUGUGUGGUUCUGUUUCUUGUCUAGGUAGAGAGGAUGGGUAACAUUAGAAACUACAUUUCCUUAAUAUUCACCUUGAAUAUCGGUUAUCUAUUGUUAAGUAGAACUCAUGGACAUAUUGAUAUUAUUGUUAAAUUCUUUGGUUAAUUGUGAAAAACAGAAGAGUACUUGUGCUUUCAUUUGGGAUUUUUUUACCAUGUCGCUUGGUUUUAGUAUCAAAACAAGGUAUUCGUGUCUUUCAGCAUGAAAAGUGAACAAGCACAGCUUCCACUACCAAGUAUUCUUUUUCAACGAGAGGUAACAUCUAACAAAUAGUUGUUAAAAGAAAUUUCAGCAUCUUUAAAAUUUGUUUCAAUUUUUUCCCAACGGUUUAUAUGGUUAGGUUGAGUUUUUUAUUCUCAUUGAAAGGUUUAUGACACACGAAAUAGAAGUUUUGUUCAGAGAGGGGUGAUUUUGGAGCUCGAGUUACUGAUUUUGUUGCUGCAAAGGCGGUUGAUGUCAAUGCCGAGGAAACAAGUCCAUGUCUGUCAUUAAUGCAGGGUCUUGUAGUUACGCUGCUCCAGGAUAACAGUCUACACUUACGGAAUUAUCAAAGUGAAUUAUGGGCAAGAUGCAUGCAAGGUUGGUGAUGAAGGUGGAUUCACUCCAAAUGUCCAGGAUAACAUGGAAGAGCUAGUUACACUGGCAAGGUCACUUUCUUUUUGGCCUUGCAGUUUAUUACACUAUUUUAUUUUCGAAAGAUAUGACUUUCUCAUUGAAAAAUUGGUGUAGAUUAAAAUUGAUAUGGAUGUAGCAGCAUCCGAGUUCUUGACUAAGAAUGCCAAUAUGAUCUUAAUUUUAAGAAACAACCAAAUGAUGGAACACAUGUAUUUGAUACUCAGAGCCUUUGUGAACUUUAUAAGGAGUUCAAUGAUUUUGCUAUUGUAUCUAGUGAAGAUCCAUUAGACCAAGAUGAUAGGAGUUCAUGGGCAGCACUACGAUCUUCAGUUGAUAUUUAACAUGUUGGUGACUAAUCCAAGAGAAUUGCGAAGCAAUUCAGAAAAAGAUAUGCAAUGCAUUGUUUUUUUAGAAGGUAAUAGGAAUCUUGUCUCAUACUUGAUGAUGACGAGUCUUAUAUUGAAGAAGGCCAUAGGAUAAGUCUUAACUUGUUAGUAUCUUUGUUUUAUACCA